AUGUAUUCAGCAAACUGUUCAUUCUUACAGUGUUACAGAAAUUUAAACAGUCUUAAGUAUGGAAAACUUAUGAACACCCCUUUGAAAGCAUACACCUUGCCCCAGUUUCUGCUGCAACCAAAGGAGACUCCAACUCUCCAAUUCCAAUUUUGCAGGCACUUCGCAGAAUUGCUUUUUUCCACGAUAAUGAGCAAGAACGGGGUCCUGGAGCCCUCUGGUGGAUGUCUUGCAGAAGACAGGCAGCUGAAAGCUGCUUCAAACAUGAACUCAUGUACUCACUAAAACUUCAAGUGAUGCGCUCUUCAGAGGCAUGUCUCCUUUAUGAAUGGGCCUGAAGACAACUUAUGAAGUCUUUCUUUACAGUACUGAAAGAAAAGCAGUGAAAGAAGCUAAAGGUGGGCACUGUAGCAAUUGCUCUAGGUGACUGUUUGGGCUUUGCUGCCAGCAAACACUUUUUUCUGUUGCUCCUUGUACCGCAG
rnacentral:lncRNA from 1 species